GACGAACGCUGGCGGCGUGCUUAAUACAUGCAAGUCGAACGGAAAGGCCCCUUUGGGGGUACUCGAGCGGCGAACGGGGGCGUAACAGGUGAGUAACGUGCACCUGACUUCGGGAUAACUUUAGGAAACUGGGACCAAUACCGAUAAGGGAUACUAUAUGCAUGGGGGGGGUUGGAAAGUUUCGGCGGUUUUGGCUGGAAUUGAGGGAUAUCAGCUUGCUGGGGGGGUUAUGGCUUACCAAAGCUUUGUAGGGAAGCCGGCCUGCGAGGGCGACCGGCCACCUUGGGACUGAGGUACGGCCCAGGCUCCGACGGGAGGGAGCAGUGGGGAAGAUUGCACAAGGGGCGGAAGCCGGAUGCUGCAGCUCCGCGGGCCGGAUGACGGCCUUCGGGUUGUAGACCGCAUGCAUCAGGGGCUAAGCUUGUGUUGACGGUACCUGCAGAGGAAGCACCGGCUAACUACGUG
rnacentral:rRNA from 1 species